CCUACGGGGCGCAGCAGUGAGGAAUAUUGGUCAAUGGUCGGGAGACUGAACCAGCCAAGCCGCGUGAGGGAGGAAGGUACAGAGUAUCGUAAACCUCUUUUGUCAGGGAACAAAGACUGGGACGCGUCCCCGGAUGAGUGUACCUGAAGAAAAAGCAUCGGCUAACUCCGUCCCAGCAGCCGCGGUAAUACGGAGGAUGCGAGCGUUAUCCGUUUUUAUGGGGUUUAAGGGGUGCGCAGGCGGUCUGUUAAGUCAGCGGUCAAAGCCCGGGGCUCAACCCCGGCCCGCCGUUGAAACUGGCAGUCUCGAGUUGGAGAGAAGUAUGUGGAAUGCGCGGUGUAGCGGUGAAAUGCAUAGAUAUCGCGCAGAACUCCGAGUGCGAAGGCAGCAUGCCGGCUCCACACUGACGCUGAGGCACGAAAGCGUGGGUAUCGAACAGGAUUAGAUACCCGUGUAGUC
rnacentral:rRNA from 1 species